GGAGAUGUGGCUGAGUGGCUUAAAGCUUUGGUUUGCUAAAUCAACCUGUACGAGUACAGCGUAGGUUCGAAUCCUACCGUCUCU
rnacentral:tRNA from 1 species